rnacentral:rRNA from 1 species
UUCCAGCUCCAAUAGCGUAUAUUAAAGUUGUUGCAGUUAAAAAGCUCGUAGUUGGACUUCAAGAAGCGCAUCUGGGCAACCAGUUUGCCUUCUACCAGCCCUAGGCUGUUACUGUGAGAAAAUUAGAGUGUUUCAAGCAGGCUUUUGCAGGAAUACAUUAGCAUGGAAUAACGAAUGUGUCUACAAUUUGGUUGAUUGUAGGUUACAAUUAAUAGGGACAGUUGGGGGCAUUAGUAUUUAAUAGUCAGAG